rnacentral:rRNA from 1 species
UACGUAGGGGGCAAGCGUUGUCCGGAAUCAUUGGGCGUAAAGAGCGUGUAGGCGGCCCGAUAAGUCCGCUGUGAAAGUCCAGGGCUCAACCCUGGGAUGCCGGUGGAUACUGUCGGGCUCGAGUCCGGAAGAGGAGUGUGGAAUUCCCAGUGUAGAGGUGAAAUUCGUAGAUAUUGGGAAGAACACCGGUGGCGAAGGCGGCUCUCUGGACCGAUACUGACGCUGAGGCGCGAAAGCUAGGGGAGCAAACGGG